rnacentral:lncRNA from 12 species
AUGUAUUUCCUUAUGCCCUUGAAGCGGAAAAUGCUCGCUCGAGGGCGCAGAAGCACCUGGGGAGGAGCACACACGCUUCCGUCUAACACUGCCCCGCGCCACCUGCAGCAGGCCGCAGGUGGUUGGAGAGAGGCAUCCUUCCCCGCUGGGUCCCCCGUGCCCCCAGCACCCAGUCCCCGGGCCGCUGCCUCCAACCCAGCAGGGCUCCAAGGAAACAGGAACCCCACGGCCUGCUUCGCCUGGGCUCCCCUCAGCUGGCUGGGAGGUUGGCGCCGUCGGUUCCCGCCCCCGGAGCCGCCCCGGGACCCCGGCAGGGCCUCCGCCUCCGUCCUUCCCGCCGGCAGGUGCUUCAGGGAAAUGCCCCCCUGGGGUCCCGCACUCGCGCCCUCGGAUGCAAAAUGCCCCUCCGUUUCCUGUCUCCCAGCUCCACCAGCAGCCAGCGUCAGCCCCGGGACCGUGUGUGGCCGCACGACUGGCCGUCAGAGAGGUCAAACUCCACUUCCCGGGACUCUGAGGAACCUUCCGUGGCUUUCUAUGAGCGGGUGAUUGAACUCUUGUGAAAACUAUUUAGGUCCUGGCCUUCCCGAGAGCAUGUAGGUUGAGUUGGUGUUGGUAGGGAGGAGGGUAAAAAGGGCAAAGGGCCUUUUGGCCUUGUAUUGACCAUCCAGCCUCCUUGAAGUUGAAAAUGGGCUAAACAUCACAAAACUGGGGACCUGGCCGGCUGAGCCUUCUACGGGAGCCCCCGGGCCUCCUUCAGCACGCGUGGCCUCCCUGACUCUCUGAAGCGCCACCCUCCCCUAACAUUUCUUACUGGUUUGUCAAGGAGCGUUCCUUGAUUCAUUGAGGUGUGCCUUCAGGCCUCGCUUCAUCACAGACUCCCUCACAGACCAUAACACAUAAAUUUGUUUAAAUUAAACAAAUUCUUGCAUGAACCUCUGCCACUCAGGGCUGUGGAAACCGACUCUGUGUUAGAUUCAUAAUGUAAAUUUGAUACCACUUGUGUCAUAUUAGCUUAUCCAGUUUCCUUAGUUUGUAGUCGGUCUGUAGAAGGCAGAGAUGGGUAGGGCAGGGUAACGAGAUUUAAUUCAAUUUAAUAAAUGUUCGUUGAGGGCUAUAUACA